rnacentral:rRNA from 1 species
AACGAACGCUGGCGGCAUGCCUAACACAUGCAAGUCGAACGAUCCCUUCGUGGUUAUUUGCGCACGUCUGCUUAACGCGUGGUAACCUGCCCUUAGGUUCGGUAUAACUCAGUGAAAUUUUAGCUAAUACCUGUUAAUGUCUUCUUACCUAGGAUUUCUCGCGUCUGGAUGGGCCUGCGUUGGUUUCGCUAGUUGGUGGUGUACAGGCCUCGCAAGGCGAGGAUCCAUAGCUGGUCUGCGAGGAUGAUCAGCCACACUGGGAAUGAGACACGGCCCAGAAUGCUAGGGGAGGGAGCAGUAGGGAAUAGUGGAGGAGGGGGGAAAGCCUGAUAAAGCAACGCCGGGGGAGUGAUGAAGGGGGUAGGGUAGUAAAGCUGUUUUACACGGGAUGAUAAUGACAGUACCGGGAGAAGAAGCACCGGCUAACUACGUG